GGUUUGGCACCUCGAUGUCGGCUCAUCGCAUCCUGGGGCUGUAGUCGGUCCCAAGGGUUGGGCUGUUCGCCCAUUAAAGCGGUACGCGAGCUGGGUUCAGAACGUCGUGAGACAGUUCGGUCCCUAUCCGUCGCGGGCGCAGGAAAUUUGAGAGGAGCUGUCCUUAGUACGAGAGGACCGGGAUGGACGCACCGCUGGUGUACCAGUUGUUCUGCCAAGGGCAUCGCUGGGUAGCUAUGUGCGGACGGGAUAAGUGCUGAAAGCAUCUAAGCAUGAAGCCCCCCUCAAGAUGAGAUUUCCCAUUCCGCAAGGAAGUAAGAUCCCUGAAAGAUGAUCAGGUUGAUAGGUCUGAGGUGGAAGCGUGGUGACACGUGGAGCUGACAGAUACUAAUAGAUCGAGGACUUAACCUAU
rnacentral:rRNA from 1 species